rnacentral:rRNA from 1 species
UACGUAGGGCGCAAGCGUUGUCCGGAAUUAUUGGGCGUAAAGAGCGCGUAGGCGGUCUGUCGCGUCGGGAGUGAAAUCUUACAGCUUAACUGUGAACUUGCUUUCGAUACGGGCAGACUUGAGGCAUUCAGGGGAGAACGGAAUUCCUGGUGUAGCGGUGAAAUGCGCAGAUAUCAGGAGGAACACCGGUGGCGAAGGCGGUUCUCUGGGAAUGUCCUGACGCUGAGGAGCGAAAGUGUGGGGAGCGAACAGG